CCUAGGCAGCAGUGAGGAAUAUUGGUCAAUGGUCGGGAGACUGAACCAGCCAAGCCGCGUGAGGGAGGAAGGUACAGCGUAUCGUAAACCUCUUUUGUCAGGGAACAAAGACUGGGACGCGUCCCCGGAUGAGUGUACCUGAAGAUAAAGCAUCGGAUAACUCCGUGCCAGCAGCCGCGGUAAUAGGGGGGAUGCGAGCGUUAUCCGGAUUUAUGGGGUUAAAAGGGUGCGCAGGGGGUCGUUAAAGUAAGGGGGAAAGGCCCGGGCCUCAACCCGGGCCAGCCGUUGAAACUGGCAGUCUCGAGUUGGGGAGAGGUAUGCGGAAUGCGCGGUGUAGCGGUGAAAUGCAUAGAGAUCGCGCAGAACUCCGAUUGCGAAGGCAGCAUGCCGGCUCCACACUGACGCUGAGGCACGAAAGCGUGGGUAUCGAACAGGAUUAGAUACCCUUGUAGUC
rnacentral:rRNA from 1 species